UCCAUAGAGCCACUCCUCCCAGAUGAUUGGAAGCCACCAACAUGGCCUAGAAAAUUUUUGAUUAAUAUCAUACUUGUCAUUUAUACCAUGGAUUCCCUCGCCCCCAUCAGACCCCGGCCCUAGAGCGGGGGCUCCGGGCAUGGUCAUGUUGGGGUUUUGGAGUCUGAAGGAGCGGCCAUAGUAUGGGAUUCCCAGCACCAGCAUGUUCUUGGGGACACCUGCUUCAGCCCAGCUCCUGGCCAAGGUAUCCCUUCUCCUCCGUCUGAGCCCGGACCUACGGCAGGGGCGCCAGGGAAGGAGUAGUUAGCGCUCUUCAGUUUGAAGGAACGGCCGUAGAAAGCCAGACCUAUGACAAUCUGGCUCGCCGGAACUCCGGAC